rnacentral:lncRNA from 1 species
GAUUGAAAUUAUCUAAAGUACAAACGAUAGUAAUAAUCUUAGCAUGCAUAUGUAUUGUUCUCGUUGCGUUCAAGCUUCAGUAGACCAAAGCAAUUGAACUAAUAGAGGUGGGUUUGAAUACGGGGAAAGACUAGUUAUAUGAAUUGGGUAUGUUAAUAUUACAAUUGACUAUACUUUGGCUAUCUGAAAUCAAUUAUCAAACUACAAAACACUGAGGCUUUGUCAUGGACAUACAUUGGAAGAUUCUUCGAAUAUUCUUCUAGAAUAUUCUCUAAAGAUUCUCUAAAGAUUCUUUUAGAAGGUUCUAGAAGAUUCUUAGAAUAUUCCCUAAAGAUUCUAUUAGAAGAUUCUAGAAUAUUUUUAGAAGGUUCUAAAAUAUUCUGAUAGAUUCUAGGAAGUUGCUCGAGAAGCUUCCUAUUCAGUAGUAUAUAUAGGAGUCGAGGCUGAAGGGUUCUUCAGUCUCGACAACACAUCUCUUGGAGUUCUAGCUCACCUUUCUGGUGUUGUUCUUGUACUCAUCUGUUUAAUCUAGUUCUGCCACUUCUUCUUGAACUUCUUGUUAGAUUUCAAGUCUGUAUUUUGUGUCCGUGACAGUUUGUCGAGACUACAUUUUCACUGGUAUCAGAGCUAGUUCCUUCUUGUUAGAGAGUGGAUUACCCCUCUUCUUGAAGGUGUGCUAGUGUUUUAGAGGUUGCGGAUUAUCCUCCUCUAAACUGAUAUCUCUUCUUUCUCAAUAUUGGAGCCUUAUUCUUCUUGGAGAGAGUGGAUUACCCCUCAUCUUGGAGUCUUAAGGCGUUUUAGAGGUUGCGGAGUACUCUCCUCUGAACCAAUAUUGUCCUCUUGUCAAAACUCUUUUUUUUUCUUUCUGAAGGUUAGCCGAAGGUUAAGACGUUAAAAUGGCUGAAAGUUUGGAAUCCAAACUAGACGCCAUCAUAAAUGCUCUUGCCUCGUUGUCACAUAGGACAACAGAGAUCGAAGGAGUCAUGGUAGAACUCCAUAACAAUGGAGCAUCUGGGAUAGCGCCAUCUAAAGCAUAUCAGCCUCAAACUUCUGCGCCAGAAGAAGCAGUUCUACCUCCAUUUCAACAAGAUCGAGUAGUCCUACAACGAAAGGAGCCUCGAGUUAGUCUUCCGGAUAAGUUUGAUGGAACUCGUUCCAAGUUUCGAGGUUUUGUCAACCAAAUCAGGUUGAUAACAAUUUUACAGCCCGAACGUUAUCCGACGGAGGAAACACGUGUUGGGCUUGUUGGAACCUUGCUUACAGCACAAGCUCUGUCUUGGUUUACUCCCUUGUUCGAGAAGCGAUCGCCAAUCCUGAGCAACUUUGAAACGUUCUUGGAGGCGUUUGCAGAAGCAUUUGGCGAGCAUGAUAAAGUUCGAUGGGCUACAACAAAGAUCCGAUCGCUACGACAAGGAACACGCUCUGCAUCAGUCUAUGCCUCGGAUUUCAGACAAUUGGCAAGUGACAUUAAUUGGGGUGAAGAGGCGUUGGUGAGUCAGUUUUAUUGGGGCUUGAAGGAUGAUGUGAAGGACUUGCUGUUAUCUCUUCCUGAUCCUCAAACGCUCAACGAAGCUAUUACCCAAGCUGUAAAGUGUGAUAACCGCCUAUUCCAGCGUCACCAAGACCAACGUCUAAGACACCAAAUGACUCGUUACGACGUGACUAUGUCUGCAAAUAGCUUAAACUCACAUUCGGAGGCAACAGACAUGCAAAUCGACACGGCGCGUGUCCGAUCUCUUACUCCAACAGAGAAGAAACGGCGUAUGGAAGAAGGGUUAUGUUUGUACUGUGGAGAAGAAGGUCACAAGGUUGGAAAUUGCCCAAAGAAGCAAAAUUGGCACCCUGUCAAGACUAGAAGUGCGAUGAUUCCGGAAAACGACGACGCCCAGCCACAGUAGGAACCGUGCGGCUGGACAAUCUAAUAUCACGACAACAAUCAGGUUCCUCCUUCUCUGUCCAACCUGCCCAUUGUUUUACAAUUCCUUUUUUUUUAGGCCCUCAAAAACAAAAAACUUUAGCUUUAUUGGAUUUGGGGGCAUCUACUUGUUUUUUAGAUGAAGAGUUUGCUAAACGCCACAAGAUCCGUUUAGUACAGAAGUCCAAACCUGUUCACGUAGAGGUGAUAGAUGGACGACCCUUAUUGUCAGGCAACGUUACCCACGAAUCAGAACCUAUAGAAGUGGUGUUUAAGGACCAUAGUAGUCACGUUAUUUUUAAUAUUAUUAGAACCCCAUCAAGCCCUGUUAUCCUUGGUCUUUCUUGGUUAGAAGAUCAUAAUCCGUCCAUUGAUUGGAGGCUACGAAGGAUAACAUUUCCUGAAAAAAAUAAUAAUAAACCUAUUGGUAGAACCUACAUGAAGAAAUCCAUGUUUAUUGGAGCGAGAGCGUUCCUAAGAUCGUCCAAGGAAGGCGCACCAUUUGUCAUUUAUGCAGCUCCAACUAGCGGCGAGAAUAUCUCAACAUCGAAUAUACCAGAGCAAUAUAGGGAUUUUGAAGACAUGUUUCAGAAGAAGAACGCCGAUAUACUGCCGGAACAUCGACCAUAUGAUUGCGCCAUAGACUUAGAGGAAGGAGCGCAACCACCUUUUGGUCCAAUAUACAACCUAUCGCAGACGGAGUUGGCAGAAUUGCGGAAGUACAUCGAUGAGAAUCUAGCCAAGAAUUUUAUUCGACAUUCAAAGUCGCCAGCUGGAGCACCAAUCCUAUUCGUGAAGAAAAAGGAUGGCUCACUACGGAUGUGCGUGGACUACCGAGGACUCAACAAGGUGACCAAGAAAAAUCGCUAUCCCUUACCUUUGAUCUCCGACCUCUUAGAUCAACUUGGACGUGCAAGGAUUUUUACAAAGAUUGAUUUAAGAGGAGCCUACAACCUUGUGCGAAUCAAAGAAGGAGAUGAAUGGAAGACAACCUUUCGUACAAGGUAUGGCCAUUUUGAGUACAAUGUCAUGCCUUUUGGUCUUACCAAUGCUCCAGCGGUCUUUCAGCAUAUGAUGAACGACAUCUUUCGGGAGUACCUCGAUGACUUUGUUGUCAUCUAUCUGGAUGAUAUUUUGAUAUUUUCCAAAAAUGAAGAAGAUCAUGAGAAGCACGUUUGUUUGGUUCUUGAAAAACUACGCGAACGAGGACUCUACGCCAAGUUGGAGAAGUGUCAAUUUCACUAGAAUGAGAUGGAAUUUUUGGGCUUCAUUGCGACUACAGAGGGCUUGAAGAUGGAUCCAAAAAAGGUAGAAGCAAUUAUAUCUUGGGAAGUUCCGAAGACGGUUAGAGAUGUUCAGUGUUUUCUUGGAUUUGUUAACUUCUAUCGGAUCUUCAUCAAGAAUUAUUCUCAAGUUGCUGCACCACUCACGCGUCUAACAAGCAAAGACAAGCUCGAAUGGGGAUCACAAGCAGCAAAAGCAUUUCAAGAUCUCAAGACGGCAUUUACUACGGCUCCAAUCUUGGUACACCCUGACUUUGCAAAGGCUUUCUAUUUAGAGACCGAUGCUUCAGAUUUUGCUUUGGGAGCUGUGCUUUUACAGAUGGGCAUAGACAAGAAGCUUCACCCAGUUACGUUCUAUUCACGGAAGUUCUCUGCUGCUGAGAUCAACUACGAGAUCCACGACAAAGAGCUGCUUGCUAUAGUGGAUGCCUUCCAAGAGUGGCGUCACUUCCUCGAAGGAGCUGCACAUCCAGUGACUGUUUAUACGGACCACAAGAAUUUGGAGUACUUUAUGACAGCUCGAAUUUUGAAUCGUCGUCAAGCUCGAUGGAAUAUGUCUCUAUCACGAUUUGACUUUAUUAUCACCUACCGCCCUGGAAAACAGCAAGGAUUAUCUGACGCAUUAUCGAGGAGAUCGUAUCUUCCGCUAAAGGCUGGAGAAGCAGCGUUUGAUCAACAAUGUACAACAUUGUUGAAACCAGAAAAAUUCAGGAUUUUUGCUACUGUUGCAACUAUCGAUGACGGCUUCCUCAGCGAGGUACGUACUGCGACCAUUGAGGAUUCUAUAGCUCUUGACAUCAAACAACGUGUCGAUAAUGACAAGUUUAAGGUGGAGGGAGAUCUUCUGUAUUUUGAGGAGCGGUUGUAUAUCCCGAAAGAACCAACUCGACUCCGAGUACUUCAAUCUCGCCACGACUUUCCAGCUACGGGACAUUUUGGAUUCAACAAGACUUUGAAGCUCAUUUCACGAGAUUUUUGGUGGCCCCAAAUGUGGAAGGAUGUGAAGGAAUUUGUCCUUUCUUGUGAUGUUUGUUCAAGAUCCAAGAUCCCUCGACAUCGUCCGUAUGGACUUCUCCAGCCAUUGCCUAUUCCGCACCGACCAUGGUCUUCAGUUUCUAUGGACUUCAUUACGGACCUACCGCCAUCGAAUUCAUUUGACAGCAUCUUUGUUGUGGUGGAUCGAUUUACAAAGAUGGCGCAUUUCGUGCCUUGCAAGAAAACAUCGUCAAGUGAAGACACCGCAAGACUCUUUCUUGAUAACAUAUAUCGUUAUCAUGGCCUACCAGAUGAUAUCGUGUCGGAUCGAGGUACUCAGUUUGUAUCCAAGUUUUGGAGGUCCCUCUUUGAGAUAUUGAAGGUGGAUAUUAAGCUCUCUUCGGCUUUUCAUCCUCAAAUUGACGGUCAAACGGAGUGGAUGAAUCAAGUUUUGGAGCAAUAUUUAUGAUGCAGCAUCAACUAUCAACAAGAUGAUUGGACUGCAUAUCUACCGCUUGUUGAGUUCGCAUACAACAACACUCUUCAUGCGUCAUCUCAACAAACACCAUUCUUCUCCAACUAUGGAUACCACCCCAAGCUCGAUUUAUUGAGUUCUUCAGCAAAUAACAACCCAGCAGCUGAAGGAUUUGUGAAGCAACUAUCGGAGCUUCAAGCGACGUUGAAGCUUCAAUUGCAAUCUGCCCAAGAGAGUUACAAGGCAUCUGCAGAUAAAUAUCGAAAUGAGGCGCCUACUUUUAAAGUUGGAAGUAAAGUAUGGCUUCUUCGACGGAAUAUCAAGACCAAGCGGCCAUGUGACAAAUUGGACUAUCGGAGAUUAGGGCCAUUUGUUAUCGAGAAGUAGAUCAAUCCGGUGGCAUAUCGUCUGGAGUUACCAGCUACUAUGAAGGUACAUCCAGUCUUUCACGUGUCUUUGUUGGAACCUUAUCGAGAGUCAGCUUUUCCCCAAAGAGUACAAAGUCCGCCACCAAGUAUCGAAAUUGAAAACCAUGAGGAAUACGAGGUGGAAAAGGUACUAGAUUCACGGCGUAAUAGGAGAAAAUUGGAGUAUUUAGUGCAUUGGAGUGGAUACGACAUCAAUGAACGAACGUGGGAGCGUGCCGAAAAUCUUGCCAAUGCACCAAAAAAGGUAUAAGAAUUUCAUCAACGAUAUCCUCAUAAACCUAAGCUGAUUCAACGAUAGCUUCUUGCUGAAGCUUGCUCAUCAAGUAGCAUAAAAAGGGGGGAGGGCACCUCCAAAACCCAUAGUUCGAUAGUGUAGAACUUUGUUAGCAACUAUAGUUUGCUCUCAUCAUUUUAGCCUUUGGACAUGGAUAGUCAAGAUACUACACUUGUUAUGUCAUCUCAAGCGACUAGCUCACGAAGACGACCGCGAGAUGAAGAACCGCCUGCACCACGAGGACGUCGGAGGAUACCGAGCAACAGAUCGCUAGUAAUUGUAUUUGAGGUCGAGCCUGCCUACGACGGUCAGCCAGAAGGUGUGUUUGGAGGACAGUUUCACAAUGAAGACACAAAAGUCCACGCUUGAUCAGAGGUUGAAGGUGCUGGUCACUACCGUUGGCUCCAAAGGCCGAUGAAUCAUUUGCCUCGCGAACAACAAUUGGAAUUCAUAGCGGAUGUGAUACGACAGAUUUUCAUUUUCUUGCGUUGGUAUUGACUGAUAACAACAUUGCUUCUCGGAGACCUCGAAGUUAGAAGAGGAGGUGAUGUCAUGGACAUACAUUGGAAGAUUCUUCGAAUAUUCUUCUAGAAUAUUCUCUAAAGAUUAUCUAAAGAUUCUUUUAGAAGAUUCUAGAAGAUUCUUAGAAUAUUCCCUAAAGAUUCUGUUAGAAGGUUCUAAAAUAUUCUUAGAAGGUUCUAGAAUAUUCUGAUAGAUUCUAAUAAGUGGCUCGAGAAGCUUCCUAUUCAGUAGUAUAUAUAGGAGUCGAGGCUGAAGGGUUCUUCAGUCUCGACAACACAUCUCUUGGAGUUCUAGCUCACCUUUCUGGUGUUGUUCUUGUACUCAUCUGUUUAAUCUAGUUCUGUCACUUCUUCUUGAACUUCUUGUUAGAUUUCAAGUCUGUAUUUUGUGUCCGUGACAGGCUUAUUACUUCCAUCUUAAUUCAACCCAUAAUCCAUUCUAUGAUUAUCAAUUCAACAAUACUUCUCUCAAUCACAAUUCUUCAUAAGCAAAUAAUAAAGAAAUUAAAGAGGUAGCACCAAGCUUACCCCGGCUUACGACUCUCACAAUCUGGCUCUCAGCUUACGACUCUCACUAACUGGCUCUCGAUC